rnacentral:lncRNA from 1 species
UUUUUUUUUUUUUUGCGGGGAAGAGUUAGAGGAGUGGUAAGAAGGGAUAAAAGUGAUUUAGGUGCAACUGCAAGAAAGAGCAUUGUCAAAAUCAUUCAAAUUGUGGCUUUCUCAGUCCAGUGGAUGGUCUAAGCAUGAAAAGUUAAACAGCUGUGACGCUACGGGUCACUCCCGUCAUUGGGUACAAUUUCAUACUAAUUCGAAAAGGAAAAUGAAGAUCGGAGAAAUAGACACGUAGAUUGGAAGGUCUUUAUUCCCGGAUUGCUGCAGCAAUUAAUAGCACCCAAUUGAAGGAUAAUGGAAAGAACCAGAACCAAAACCAAACAAAUUUUAUAGAUUCACACACCCAAUCAUCAUCGCCAUGUGUACGGGAACAUGCUUUCCCAAAUUAUACACGCAAUUAUAUAAUCUUCUUGAUUGAAAGUUUUAUGCGACACACUUUGCAUAGGCGUCGUCGACUGUGUGGCGUGGAUGACAAUUGAAUUGAGAUGCAACACGCAUGGAAUUUGCCAGGGCAGGAUAGGUUCGAGGGAAAUUUCUGCAUCCUUGUUUGGAUUGGAUUCUGAUUUUUCGUAGAAAAAUUUCCACGUUCAAUUGAACAGAAUAAAAGUCAAGUGGCACCCUGCUAGAGCGAGCUUCUAUCUGAGUGUAAUAAAUUUCCAUGUUUUGCCGGUUUGGUCAUUGCAUUUCAUCAAAAUAUAAAUGCAUUUGUUUAAAAUGUAAAUCAACUUGAAUACAAUAAUAAUGUAAAUGUAGUUCGAUUUUGUGAACCUCAAACGUAUCAUAUAAUUAACGUACAUCUUACAAUUUUUUCGACCAAUUCAAACCAUGAACCGUUUAGGCGACAGUAACAAGUCUCGGCCCUAUCCUGAAAGCCUACUUCCUGCGCCUUUCAACUAAAUGGAAAGGAAAUAUAUAUACAUUUUUUGGUAAUGAUUGCGCAUUGGGCCAAAACGUGCAACUUUUACUGUUGGAAGUAAGGGGCUACUUGAUUGAUGUAGAAUCCAGUCUUUCUUCCCAACCGAAUAUAGAAUUGAACACAGGUUUUCAUUGAAUUGGACAUCAUUUGGCAAUAAUUAGUCAUCUUCAACCAAUCGUAAGAAGGAAAGAAAUAAAAUUUGAUGCUUUGUUCUUUAUCGUAGUUUAAUCAAUGUACGUACGGUGCCAUACAGCUCGCCAUCACAAAAUUGUACUAAGUUGUUUUAGUGAUUGAUGUCUCGAGCUUUUCUUCUUUGUUGGUCUCCUCUCCUGAGAAUAUGAACCUCUGGGGUUCUAAACAGGGCCGCCAAAAUUCUACGGAUUGAGAAGAAAAUGAAAACCUUGAAAGCUGACCCAAAACUUUCUAGUAGUAUUAAUUUCUAGAUAUGGCCACCUCGGAUCACAGCAAAUUCAUUCACCGAUUACUUCCAUAUUAUGGCCAAUGGAUCUAGUGUUGAAAGUCCAUUCAAUUAGACAGUUCAAUUAGAAAUGCUGUAUAAUGAAUCCACACAAAAGGAAAGUUACAGAAAAUGAAUAUGGCGGCGAUGGGACAAUUUCCAGGAAACAGUCACAAAAGGUUCAUAUAAGUUGAAAAUCAUUUGCAACACGCAUUCAGACAGCAAAACAUACACACAUGGAAAUCAUUUGAACUGAGUUGCUGCUAUUGUUGUUUCUCCUAUCUCACAUGUUUCUCGUCGUCAUCAUCACUGCUAUUGUUGCUGCUCGCCUUGCCAAGCCCAGACAAUUUCUGUCAAAGCCGGUUUUAGAUUCUGUUGCAACACCUUCAGAUAAUCCAAUGCAUCUCCGCUUGACUUUCUAACCUCCACCAAGUGAAAGGACGAAGUGAUUUCGAAAAUUUCAACAUCGAUGGACACAGUCCCAUUUCUACAAUCGUUCGGUUGCUCCAAUUUCAUCACCCCUCCUUCCUUCUUCAUGACUUUCAGCUUUAGACGUCUAGCAAUUUCUUCAAUUUUGGAUAUGAGAGAGGGUGCGGACGUUUUUGAUAUAAAUUGCACUUCUUCCUUCUGAUCAUUCCUCACAAACAAACCAGACAAGUCGAAACCCGUUGAAAGGGAGAUUAUGUCAAAUGCAUUGAAGUUAGUUGGCUUUGGUACUUCUAGCUUUGUCUCGGUAGAAGGACCGCUGCAACACUCAUUAAGAUCAAAUGCAAUAUCAGCAUUUAAGGGAUUCUUUCCCUUGUCCUCUAUACUUGCUCUUAAAUCUCUCUGAUCCAGCCCUUUCCUGAACCAAGUGUUUUCCAUAAUUUUGGCUAUGGAAAUCCUAGUGUGUGGACUUGGGUCGAGGAUCCUUGAUAGCAGUCUGCGCACUUCUGGAGGAACCCAAUUUGGGCAUUUGUACUCAGCCUUGCUUAUCUUUCUAUACAUAUCCAUAAGAUUCGAUGCAUGGAAUGGAAGAUAACCAGCCAGUAGAACAAAUAAGAUUACACCGCAAGACCAGAUAUCAGCUUUGGCACCAUCAUAACCUUUCCUGCUAAUAACCUCAGGAGCAACAUAGGCGGGGGUUCCACAGGUUGUAUGAAGCAACCCGUCUUGCCGCCUAGAUUCAGCUAGAGCACUCAAACCAAAAUCUGACACCUUUAAAUUCCCAUUCUCAUCCAGCAGCAGAUUUUCUGGUUUUAGAUCACGGUGGUAGACACCCCUGCUAUGGCAAAAGUCAACAGCAGUGAUCAAUUGUUGAAAGUACUUUCUGGCAAUGUCUUCCUUGAGCUUUCCCUUGGCGACCUUGUUAAAAAGUUCACCACCUUUGGCAUACUCCAAAACGAAGUAAAUCUUGGUUUUGGUUGCCAUGACCUCAUAAAGCUGUAGCACAUUGGGGUGUUUAACCAGUGCCAUGACAGAUAUCUCUCGCUUGGUCUGAUUGAUCAGUCCAACCUUCAGAAUCUUCUCUUUAUCAAUUAUCUUAAUGGCUACACUCUGCCCGGUUGCAAGAUUUCUACCAUAGUAAACUUUUGCAAAGUUUCCUUGCCCUAGUAAUCUUCCAAGGUCAUACCUUUGCAUUAAUAUGUUUGUCUUAUUAUCCAUUCUAAUCAGAAAACUACUAUACACCUUCUAUUAUACUCUCCUGCUUGUACGAAUAUUUGGUUUUUACCGGGCAGGAGUAGUUUUAUUUGAGAAAUUCAACCGUCUCCCUCGUGCUUCAACACGAGAGCAAGGCAACAAGUGUUGCUUUUAUUCUGCAGCUGUCCGCAAAAAAUUGAUAUGCCAUGAUUCAUGCGCCCGACCUCAUCAAGAAUGAACAAAUCCACCCAAGAUGGAAAGGAAGGCACUUUGACAUCAGAGUGACAAGUGCUCGCAUUCAGCCACAUCUUUCUGCAUUCCCAAGUAAUUUUUGACCAAUGGUACCUGCCAAGGUUCUGAAGUAAACGGAUAGGUGUUUUCUAUCAGAAAUACCAAGCACAAUUUCACAAUGGUGAAAACAAUGGAAUAUAAUCUAAUUACAAUAACAACAGGAAAAAACAAAAAGUUUUGACCAGUGAAGAAGCGGAAACAAAAUGUUAAAAUUGCAUUUCGAUUUUCCAUGAAAACCAAACAAUGCUGAAGAAACCAUCUAAGACUCAGAAGGUAGCUUUUGUUACAUUAACUUUUUUCUUUACCCUUUAUAUUUCUGUACUUAUAGACCCGACCCCCCCCGCCCCACCAAAAAAAAACCAAAAAAAAAAAAAAAAAAAAAAGAGAAAACACGGAACAAGAAAGACAAAAUCUUGCAGAUCAUAAAUUUCGCAAGGCUCAUUUACGAAAUUAGAGCCCUCAUGGAAUUUGAACAUAACAGAGCACCCUCUUGUGGAAGAUUACCCUCUUGUGAUUCGAUCGUUUCAUUCAACAUUGCAAGAUUCAUCUCCAACUUGUAUUAUGAUCCUAUACGAUAAUUGAUGACCCAGAUCUUCCAACUUCAUAGCACAUAUAAUCACAAAAACAAAACAAAAGAAAUCACCAUAGCCUGAUGCCUUUACUAGAAAAGAAGAAACAGACAACGGAGGUAUAGUUUUGGCAAAGAAAACUAAGACCAUUACCAGAUGCAAAUAAUUAGUUCUAAUAUUCUCCAUCAACGGAGUCAUCAAGGAACAAAAAAACACGAGAUAUGAAAAUGGGAUCGAGCAAUUGCAAGAAAAUUACUAUCCCACCCAACAAACAAAUAUCGUUAAAAAGGAGGAAACAGAAAGAAGGAAACAAAAGAAUGGGAGGCAAGAUAUAAGAGAGUAAUACCUUGGGUUUGCACUCAGAUGAACUCGUCGGAAGAAAUGAACAAAGGCCGGCAGAGAAGUGAGGCGAGGGGAGAUGUAUUCGUACAGAACUUUUUAAUUCGGACACCAAUUAUUAUGAAUACUAGUAUUAUAGGUGUAUAAAUAAAAGAGGCAAUUUAACAAGAAGAAUAAAUUAAUUUAAGUAAUACGUAAGUAGUAGCACUUCCCUUUUAUUAGCGCGGGACCGAAUUUAAGGCAAGAUCCGGUGUCUGUCUGUCUUAUAGUUAUAGGUAUGACGUGAGGUUGUGUUGUGGCUUAGUAGCUUGCCUACCUGUAAACCCGUCAACUAGAAAAGUUGACACCUGUGUGGACGGGACGGGUGGGUAUCUCCUGUCAGGGGUAAUUUGGUGAUUUCGGUGCCAGAAGAAGAAUAGUUUAUGGAUUCCUUUUCUGAACCUUUUUGUAGUAGCUGUAGUUUGGCAUGGUGGACUGGACCCACCGACAACGAUUUGCUGAGGGUUUGGGGGACCACAAUCAAUUCAUAAAAUUAGUAGUAGUAGACUAGUAGUAGAACGGAAGAACGAAUGAAUUCUGUGGAGACUCGAAGAUCUCUGUCUGUCCAUUCUGAUCUUUCGAAUGGCUUGUAUGGGGCUGCAAAUGUCCAGCUAGAUUUGUUUCUAUUAUGUGGUAAUUUUAAAAGCUUAAAAUAUUUGACUCUCAUCCUUUUCCCCUCUGUUUCUGCUUUCUACUUGGGAUUUCUUUUAAUUACAAGUAAUGGGCAGAAAUAAUCGAUUUGGAGUCUUCUCAACCAAUAAAAAUUAGAUUGAACUUUUCCAUUUACGAUGCAUGAUGAUUAUUUCGAAUUUAACUUUAAAAGCCAAGUUACAAUCAAUCCGUUUGGAUUAGCUAUUUUUGAGAGUAUUUUUUGAAAAAUUUUACUGUAGCAGAGUUUUUAGUGUAUAUUUUGAGAUAUUUUUAGAAAAUAUUUUGAAAUAUUUAAAAGUAGUAGAGUUUUUAAAAUACUAUAUUUUAGGAUAUUUUUUAAACAUUAAAAAAAUUAGACUACUUUUUAGAGUAAUUUUUUUAUAAUAUUUGAAAAACUGAAGGAUCUAAACAGAGCAUUGUAUCACAAAAAACAUUUUAAGUAUCGAAGAACAUCUUUUAAGUAAUUUUUCAACUUCAGGUUGUUUUAUCUCAAAAAUAACAUGGAUGGCUCCAAGGAAGAGGAGUACACACAAUUCUUUACUAAUAAACAAGUAUUUAUUUUCCAUUAUGGGCCUCUAUGGAUGUAAGAUUUUAUUUGCGGGCAAGGCAAACACUUAGAUAGACUCAAGAUUUUAUUUGCGGGCACGGCAAAUACUUAGAUAGACUCGGUCAUGUGAUUCAAAUUUUGUCACACCUUCAAUUCUUAUAAGCCAUGUGGCCAAAAUUUUUAUUUUUUACAUCUUACAGCCUGUAGGACCUAUGCAGGUGACAGAGAUAGACUCUCAAAAGUUUUAGCGCAGAUAGGUUGUUUUACAUUCCACUCAAAAGUUUUACAUCCUUGAGCCGCAACUUGCCAAAAAAAUUGACUAGUGCUAUAACUUGGCUAGCAAUACAAGUCAGUUCAAAAUCAACUAUCUCUACACAGGAAUCUAGUAUCUAAGUCCUUUGGCAACUUCAAAGAAAUGAGCAACGUUCUCCUCCGGCGUUCCUACGAUUAUGCCGUGUCCAAGAUUCAAAAUAUGUUUACCUUUUCCAGCUUUCCUGACAGUAUCGUUGAUACGGUUGGUGAUGAACUCUUUUGAACCGAACAGAACACCAGGGUCCACAUUACCCUGCACUGCUACGUCAGGGCCUAAGCGCCUUCGACCUUCAGCCAUAUCAACAGUCCAGUCCAAGCUGAUCACAUCCACACCCGUCAAAGGUAGUCUCUCGAGCAAGCCUCCUGAACCACUCGCAUAUAAAAUCAAUGGAAGUUCUGGAUGACUUUGUUUCACGGAAUCCACUAUCAGUCUUAAAUAAGGCAGACUAAACUCCUCAAAGUCAACCGGACUCAGCUCUGUUGCCCAUGAGUCAAAGAUCUGAACAGCUUGAGCUCCCUUGUCAGCUUGAUACCGAAUAUACUUUGCCAUAGAGGUUGCAAAUUUUUGAAGCAGCGCAUGAAGAAUCUGCAUUUAACCCCAAAAAAAAAAAGGAUUUAAUUACAAUGUCAAUUUGUGACAUGUCAUGCAGGGUCAAUGUUUUCCUAUAAUGUUUUCCAACAGUACAAACAAUCACUGAGACCUCUUUCUGAGCCUUCUUAAUUGUGCUUUAAAAAUUAUUGCGGUAGGUGAAAAUGAGCUAAAAGUAUUUCAAGGGAUUUUUAUAUUCUAUUUACUGCAGAAUAUAAAGUACGGAAGACAAACCAAGUGGACUGUUAGAUAGAUCCACAUACAUCGCAACUUCAUCUACAAAUUUUGGUAAAAUAGAUGUUUAUAUGUUUUCAAUCCAAGAAAUGAUCGCAGAGAAGGGUACACUCAGUUUACCUUGGGCUGUGAGAAAGCUAGCCUUUUGAUUUUUGUAAAGUGCUUGGAUGAACCACCUUCAACCACAUAUGAUGCUAGGGUGAAAGGGGCCCCAACAAAUCCAAGCACUGCUGCUUCAUUGUUAACCUGACCAAAGAAAAGACAUGUCAGCGACCAAUUAAGUUAACCUCACAUUGUUAAUUCCAUUAGAUAUCUGUGGCAACCUAUAUCCUACAUUAGGAAUGUUGGAGAGCUGGGAUAUGCUUGGCGAAUGUGAUCUUAUAAGAUGCAAGUAGACUCGUGUUCGACUAUGUAAAAAACAAUAGUAAUCGAUAGUUCCGUUUCUUUAGAUGCAGAUCCAUUGCAGUUGAAGUGAAGAAAGUAUCAAACUAGAGAACAGUAUCAUGGGAAAGUACCACAAAUGUCCAAGAAAAAUCUGAUUUUCCAAAUCUCAAUGUUUCAACUUAGUUUUUCAAAUGUAAAAGAAACACAAUGUUUUCAGUUUUGAGAAACAUCUCAAACUGCACAAUUAUCUUAUAGUAUACAGUAGGAAGGUCAAAGUAAUUGAGCAUAUAAGAUUAACUAGUUCCAAUGUGCAGAAUUAUUUCCUGCCUCAAAUGCUCAUUGAAACAACAGAAGGAAGUGGAGCCAAACCUCCUUCCGCAAGAUUGUUAAAGCUUCACCAACAUAUGGAACUGACUCUUCUGGAAUGAAUUCUCUAACUUUCUCAACAUCAGCAGCUGUGCUCAGAGGAUCAAAUAUGACUGGGCCUUUUCCUUUUACUAUGUCAAAUGGGAUAUUCAUGCCAGAAAGUGGGGUAAGAAUGUCUGAGAACAGAAUGACCUGCAAUAAUGAGCAAUAACAGAAGAAGCUUGUGAGAGGAAAUUGUCAUUUGCAGUACAUUAAUCAGCAGUGCAGCAUACAUCCUAAAGGUAAAUGUAGAUUUGCAAGGAAAACCUAACUCAUCCACAAACAAGCACUAAGAAUGAUGCUUUUGUAGGUAAACAAAAAGGAUUUUUCAGUUGCAAUAUGCUCCACAAAAAUUACAAGGUGCUAUGUACACAUACAUACCCCAUCAGGCCGAAACACUUGCCACGGCUGUAGGGAAAUUUCCACCACAAGGUCGACAUUUUCUGAUCUUUCACGGAAAGAUGGAUACUUCUCGCAUAUAGCUUGAUAGCUCUAUUAAAGAAAUGCAAAACCACUCAGCCCUCAGUUGAAUGAUACACUGACACUUAGAGAAACAGUGUAGAAAAUGACUUGAAUGUAAACAAUUUUAGCUGUAAAAUUCCAGGCACACUCAAACCACAGGACUGCAAUCACUUUCCUUCAUGCAAACUCUCUUGGGUAUAUAAACAAAAUGACAUUGUAUUGACAUGAAUAAGAGAAACAUCAUCCAAACAGUAGACGUAUAAACCUGCCUUCAUGUACCUCCCAGCUUGUCUCAUCAGCCAAACCGGUGGUCUGUCCACUACUUUUCCUCGAGCAGCAUUAAGCAACAAAGGCUCAGUGACACUGAUGGUUUUUGGUUCGGCAACAGUCCCUGGAAAAUGGUAGGGCCGUAUUUAGAAAUUCCAAGUCAAGUCAUCACCCAACAUAGGACCUUAAAGGCAGACUUAAUUCCUAAUGUCUGUCUGGAGAGUAGUACUAUUUGGAUUUGAUUUGACCAAAUUUUUUCUUCAGAGAAUCAUUUCCAGAACUUGGAUUCUCCUUGCAUUACUGGCAAAAACAUCUUAGGCUGCAUGUCCUGUUUACUACACCAACUAGCACAUCCAGUAUGCCACAAACAUGUGUUUCCAAAGAGAUGCACACAAACUAGCACCAGAGAUGUCUACGUAUAUUUUUCACCCAUAGUUAAACUUUACAGAGUGAUUGACCAUGUGAAAUGCAUCUAAAUACCUUUGAACAUUUUCCAAACAGAUAAUUUUUGAGCUGUACAUCCAAAUGGUAAAAUGAAGUUUGAUAUGAUAUCAUCCGAAGGCUGUAAACCCUAACUACACAGCACAGACAGAAAACACGCAACUGAUCCAGGAAUUUGCAUAAAAAUAUAAGCCGGUAUCUUAAUUCAGAAAACAAUGAGUGCAACAUAAUCAUAAAUAGAAUUUAGCCUCCGAAUCUUCCAUGUUUUCAAAUUAUGUUUCAGAGCAUUGAGCAACAGAAUUAAAAAAUUCAAUUGGGGUCCCCAAUUUUUCUAAGGUUUAACAUCAUAUUUUAAACCACCGAACGACAGGAUCAUGUAAACAAUUGAGCUCUAAUUGAAAAUUAGUUUCUCUACCUCAACAAAGAUCUAAUCCUUCAACGGUAGAAUCCAAUGGCCAGGAAAAAUUACAUAAGCAAACACGAACAGAAUUGGACCCCACUAAAAUUAACUUUAGAAAGAUCCGAAACGCGUUGACAAUUGCAGUCACAAGUGAAAACCCCAGUUAAAAAGCUUCAGAUUAUGCAUCAAGAUUAAACUCGUACAGGGCAAAAAAAUUGAUAAGUUUCUAGCUUCAAAUUAUACCUCCAACGGCGCAGCAUAUGCUGGGACUGGGCUUGGAAUUCAAACGCCAGGAACUGAAGUUUGAAUUUGAGGAGAUUGAGAAAGAAGAAACCGAGCUGUAAAUGCAAGACAUUAUUCUAUCUAAUUGAAAAUUUUGUCAGCAGAAACAAUCAGAUAAAAUUGGGCCUGAAACUGUUCUCGAGUCUCCCCCAAAGAAGAACUUGUAUGGGAUUUUGAUUUACCUUUAUUGCAUGGGGUGGACGAAAGAGCUUGGAUAAACAGAUAAGGGGACGAAAUCUAUCUUCCUUAGACUUCAGACCACUUCCCAUCUCCGAAUGCAAGUCCACGGGGUCCACUUUCGUGGCUUUAACUUUUUGGUUUUCUUGUUUACCCAUUAUUUUUUUUUAGUAUAAGUGAAAUGAUUUAUAUUUGAAAACUCUCGUUUACAUUCUCUUAUUUCAUAUCAUCCGAUCUGUCUUUCAACAGUUUUCCCUAUGUUGCUUUUUCUGUUAAUAAAAAUUUAAUUUUUCUAUGGACUUUUGGGUUAACAAAAAAAUAAUUUAAGAGGCGAAAUUAUCUCACCCGCAUGUCAGUCACACAGGUCAUCAAAUUUUUUUUUUUUAUGUUUUAAUGAUAAACACAUCAAAAGAAGUGGGUGAAUUAGCACUAAAAGUUUUAAAAUUACCAGCACUGAUCCCCGAAUUGCUAUACUUAUAGAGAAAAAAUUGACAUCAAGGAUGCAUAAAAUAUUCAACACUAUUUGAGUGGAAUAUGAAAACACUUGUGCGAAAUGACAAAAUGAAUUUACUCUUAAUUUUUGGCUAAAAUAAUGCGAAAUUGGUUAAAUUUAUCACGAUUGCCUAACAAAAUUUAAACUGGUUUUUAAAAAUAAAUUACCCUUUAUUGGCUUUGAUCUUGAAUUCUUGAUGCAUCUUGAAGGUCCACAGGCAUUAAUGCACUAGCACUAAUGGGGCACCUGACCUGUUGCGAGAAUUGCAGAUAGAAGAAGGAACGCAGGUUUAGGCGCUACUUUCAACAAUUAAUGGCCUUUUAAGAGUUGGAUUUAUUGUGCUAGUUUAUUCAUUCCUUUCUUCGUUAUUAUUGGGUAAAAAAAUAAAAUAGUUUCAUCCUUUUCACCCACACCAUCGAAAAUUCAGGCCCAUUAAGGAAGUUUUCAUUUCUCUACAAAGAAGGAAGUAACGAAGAAAUAAUCUGCUUUCCUAUGAUUUUUAACAAUGAAUGUUGUGUUCUGUACAAGUGAAACAUAUCACACUAUCGAUUUCAAGAGAGAGUAGCAGUAUAUCAAUUUUGACGGAAAAGAAUCAGGACAUAAGCGUCACUUGAUUUCAAAUUGAUACGAGCAUGGAAAUGGAGAACAGGACGAUUCCCUCUGUAGUUAGAAAAUUGUGUCAAUAGUAAGCUUCCUUCUAGGAGGAGAUUUCUCG